CAAGCUGCACGAGAAAACCAUGUGCAAGACCGUCUCUUCCUCCUUAUUUGCUUUACAAGGAACUGCUACAUCCCAGCUGAAAAUGUCUCGACAGGCGGAAGAUAUGUCCGUGAGGACACACAUAUUGUCAGCCCAUGCUUUGGGCUGGAGUCACGAGCAGAGACUAGCUGGACUUGCAAUCAGACCUGUCUCGCAUGGUGGAGCUUCAUGAACACCUCUACACAUGCAUUAAAGCAUUUACUGCCAGAUGGAGAGUGCUGCCCUGGAACUGAAUUCAGGCAGAGGUGACCUCAGCACAGAUUACCUGACAGCUGAAUAAAGAGAAACAAGGUACAAGGUGGUUGCUCUUCCCUGUGAG